UACGGGGGGGGCAAGCGUUGUUCGGAAUUACUGGGCGUAAAGGGCUCGUAGGCGGCCAACUAAGUCGGACGUGAAAUCCCUCGGCUUAACCGGGGAACUGCGUCCGAUACUGGAUGGCUCGAGUGUGGGAGAGGGAUGCGGAAUUCCAGGUGUAGCGGUGAAAUGCGUAGAUAUCUGGAGGAACACCGGUGGCGAAGGCGGCAUCCUGGACCACGACUGACGCUGAAUAGCGAAAGCCAGGGGAGCAAACGGG
rnacentral:rRNA from 1 species